GAAGUCGGAAUUGCUAGUAAUCGCGGAUCAGCAUGCCGCGGUGAAUACGUUCCCGGGCCUUGUACACACCGCCCGUCACACCAUGGGAGUCGGUAACACCCGAAGCCUGUAGUCUAACCGCAAGGAGGACGCAGUCGAAGGUGGGAUUGAUGACUGGGGUGAAGUCGUAACAAGGUACC
rnacentral:rRNA from 1 species